GAAUUUAAAAUUAAUUCCGCCUUAUGAUCGGUAAUCCAAUACGAGAAACUGAUAAGCGUAUUAUUUGGAUUGAUGGCGGUAAUCAUGCACGGGAAUGGCCAGCAUUUCAUACGGCUACUUUUUUUAUCAAUCAGGUAUUAUUUUAAUUUGGAAAUGCUUUUCUAUGUAUAACAACAAUAAUAACAAAAGUUCGAAGCGAUUCUGACGUGCAAAUCGAUCGUCUGAUUUUGAUAUAAGGACGAAAGACUAAUCGGACAAUCCACUAGUUCCUUCCCUCAGAAAUUUCGGUCAGAAUAGUUGGAGUACGCAAUGAAGCUGUUAUAUUCGGUAAAGCGA
rnacentral:ncRNA from 1 species